CUGAAGAUGCUCAGUCUCCUCCUUCACAAAAACGUUGAACAGAUGACUCCACAUCUACAGGAGAUCUACAGCCAAUGCGAACUUCUCCAGCAGUGGACAUGCAAAGCCCAAAUGCUCAAGAUGUUCUGUUUUCCAGCCCACCACAAUUUCGAGAAUCGGGGCAUUCUGCUUCAGCUGUUUGGGGGACCAAGAAAAGAUUUCAGUCAUACUGGAAGAGGCAAUUUUCGUGCUGAGAUCAACAUUCUUCUCUGUGAUGAUCCUGGCACUAGUAAAUCACAGCUGCUUCAAUAUGUCUAUAACCUGGUUCCUUAGAGGCCAGUACACAUCUGGGAAGGGCUCUAGUGCAGUUGGUCUCACUGCAUAUGUAAUGAAGGACCCAGAGACAAGGCAGCUGAUUCUGCAGAUGGGUGCUCUGGUUCUCAGUGACAAAGGCAUUUGCUGCAUUGAUGAAUGAAAGUACAAGAUCAGUUCUGCAUGAAGUAAUGGAACAACAGACUCUAUUGCCAGGGUAAGACUCUAGCUCAACAUUGUACCACGCUACCCAGGUUAAUAUCUGUUAGAUGCUUAAUAGGGCUGUCAAAGGAUUAAAAAGAUUAAUCGCACAAGUACAAAGAUGAUGGCCCAAGCAUGCAGGGGCAUACGAAUGUUUAGCAUAUCUAGCAUGUAAAUACCUUGCAAUGCCGGCUACAAAAGUGCCAUGCAACUGCCUGUUCUCGCUCUCUGGUGAUAUUGUAAAUAAGAAGAGGGCAACAGUAUCUCCCGUAAAUGUAAACAAACUUGUUUGUCUUAACGAUUGGCUGAACAAGAAGAAGGACUGAAUGGACUUGUAGGCUCUGAAGUUUUACAUUGUUUUGUUUUUGAGUGCAGUUAUGUAACAAAAAAAAUUGUUUGUAAGUUGCACUUUCACGACAAAGAGAUUGCUUGUAUGGGGUGAAUUGAAAAAUACUGUUUCUUUUGUUUAUCAUUUUUACAGUGCAAAUAUUUGUAAUAAAAAAUAAUGUACACUUUGA